AUUAUUUAUAAAAAUUAUCAAAAUAUAUAAAAUGUAAUAAUAAGAUGAAUACUACUUAAUUGCAAUAAGUCUCCGAAUGUUCAUCUGUUUCUGAUGCCAACAUACAUCUAAAAUUUAGUAAAUUAAUGAUAUGUUUUGAAAAAUAUAAAACAAUAAAAGAAAUCCUAAAUCUCUAAACAUUCAAGUAUCAAAAGGAAAAAGAUUUAUUCAUGACAUGAUAUAUUUUCUUAAUAUCCUUAUAAUUAUAAAAAAUAUUUAACGAAUUAUAUUAAUAAAUUAAUGUACGAUUA